ACAGAAGUGGAAUGCUUGCAUGGACGGAAAGACGCUUCCCACAGCAACUGCAUGCUCACAAUUCUGGAGCAGGCGAAGGUUGAUCCCCCUGAGAGCAAAACGUCAGCGGCCCAUCUACUCUUUGGACUGUUGAAAUCAAGGAGGCAUUAUGUCAGGCAAGGCUUUCUGAUCGUAUUGGAGCACUUCCUGUCGCAGUGCCAGAGACGGGGGCGUGCAGACGACACUGAAAGUUUUCCCGACAGCCUUCCCAGUACCUUGGUGUGGCUCAUGAGUAGCUCCCUUUGGCAGUUUAUCACUGCAAACGACACAAACCGUAUUAACGUUUUACAGGUAGAGUUCGUGAUAGCUCACGUCUUUUGUUCUCACCCUCUUGUAAUUUACAGAUGUGCAACCUGCUGCUCUCCCAAAUAUGCGUCAGGUCGGGGCCGUCUGCGGGGAAACACGACGAC
rnacentral:lncRNA from 1 species